GACGAACGCUGGCGGCGUGCUUAACACAUGCAAGUCGAACGGAAAGGCCCCUUUGGGGGUACUCGAGUGGCGAACGGGUGAGUAACACGUGAGUAACCUGCCCUUGACUUCGGGAUAACUUCAGGAAACUGGGGCUAAUACCGGAUAGGAAUCCUUGCUGCAUGGUGGGGGUUGGAAAGCUUCGGCGGUUUUGGAUGGACUCGCGGCUUAUCAGCUUGUUGGUGGGGUAGUGGCUUACCAAGGCUUUGACGGGUAGCCGGCCUGAAAGGGCGACCGGCCACAUUGGGACUGAGAUACGGCCCAGACUCCUACGGGAGGCAGCAGUGGGGAAUAUUGCACAAUGGGCGGAAGCCUGAUGCAGCAACACCGCGUGCGGGAUGACGGCCUUCGGGUUGUAAACCGCUUUCAGCAGGGGCGAAGCUUGUGGUGACGGUACCUGCAGAAGAAGCACCGGCUAACUACGUG
rnacentral:rRNA from 1 species